UUGUGACCACUUGCAGAGCUGCCUGGGAGGUGUGAGGGGGCAGGGACUCACUACACGCUACUCUGUGGCAUUUACUACAUAUUGGUGAGUUUUCCUGUCAGGCUGCUCAGCCAUGAUAGCAUAUCAUAGGCAGGAUGACAUCAUUACCAUCUAUUGUAGAGUAGUGUAUAAGUGUAUAGAGGCCCCACUCCCUCUCCCCCUCCUAGGCAGCUUUGCAAGUGAAAGCAACCAGUCCUGCUCAUGUUCCAUGACGGGUUGCUGAUGGCCAUUUUUAAAUCAUUUCCUGAGAACCCCUUUAAAUUUGGUGCAUCUUUAAACCUAAUACUUUUGUCUAGAAAUGCUACUCCAGUUUUUUUUAUGGACUUUUUAAAAAAGUUGCAGUAAUAAAUCUGGAGUGAAACUAACAGCAAACUGUUCAAACUUUCCCACCCGCUUUUCCAAAUUGGAGUGAUGUACAUUGGAAAAUGUUGCAGCCCUAUUUUUGUGUCUUUUGAAGGAAUUAUGUAGUAAAGGGUUUGAUACAUCCCCCUCCCCUCCCCUUCCAUAGCUUUAACUCCACUGACAGUGAGAUUUGAGAUUUGCAGCAGUUAACCUUACAGUAUAUAACUCCAUUGAUUGCCAGAAAUCUGAUCAGUACCAAGGGGUUGGAGCACCUUAAAGAACACCCACCAUUUAGUCUUGGGAAUCACUAGGGGGUUGGGGGGUUAUAUCACUAUGACAUAUGGAAAGAUUCAUUAAGGUGGAACCUGUCAGUGGCUUUAGGUUGCUGUUGUCCUCACCCUCAGUCCCAAGGACAGAUGAGGCGUUGUGCAUGAGCCUCUGGUUUGCAAACCCAUUAAUAUAAAUGUUCCCCUUUCUCUAUUAUUUAUUCACCAUUGUAGCAGCUGUGCAAUUUCUCUAUCAUGUUUUGCUUGCCUUAAAGAGCAUCUGUCAGCUGGAUAAACCCUAUGGAACUAACAAUGUCUGGUAGGGUUGAUCCUGGCGAGCAAACCGAUUUUAUGUCUCUCUGUCGCACUAUGCCUAAAAAAAUAAUUAUUAUAAAUGAUGUCUUCAGUGCAUCGAGGGCGGGCCCAAGCCCCUUGGAGCACCAGAGCUGCUUCACUCUGCACUUGGAGCCAGUCCCAGGACAGUAAUACUUUUACUCAGAUGACGAGAUGAUCGGCUUUAUUUGGAUGAAGGAUGAUGUCAACGGUGUGCAGUAGUGAUCUGCACUGCUGGGAAAGCAGAGGAUGAUGUACUGCAUAUGUGCGAGAGUGUAAACCACCGUGCGAGAUUGCAGCAUCUCGCCUGGCCUUGUCAGGGGGGGGGGAGUAGCUGUAAAUGAACAGAGGAGGAGCUGUGAGGGGCACAUCGCAAACGGAGGAACAUAAAUGAAAUCGGAGUCUCAUUUCCUUCUUGGAUUCGUGUCCCCACCUAUCCCUUGUUUAAACUUGACUUAUGUCUUUUUUCAACCGUAUUAACUAUGUAAGGUAUCAAUGCUACCAGACAUUAUGCCUGGUUUCAUAGGAUUGAUCCUGCUGACACAUUCUCAUUAAGCCAUUCCGUUAUUCAUCCAUUCACUUGCCCUGUUAAGAAACAGUUGUUGUUUCAUCGCUUCCUGUUUACAUCUAUUUUAAUAAUAAAGUACAUUAUUUAAGCAU